GGGUGCUUAGCUCAGCUGGUAGAGCAUCGCCCUUACAAGGCGAGGGUCGUAGGUUCGAGCCCUACAGCACCCACCA
rnacentral:tRNA from 1 species